AUAAGCCCCAAGUCCUCACCUUGGCACCCAACCUCCCCAGUAGGGUUCCACGCUGUUUUUCCUCCCCUCUUAUUGCCUGGUUCCCACGAAUGUGAAUCCCUGCCCCAGCUGAGCUGGUCUUUCGGCUCCUGACCCUGCUUUGCAGUUGUCCCGGUUACCUUUUCUGGGUUCCUCCACUCAAAUCUCAUCCAUCCUUAAGCCCAGCUCCACACUUUCUCCUCCAGCAGGAAGAUUUCUGGACUCCCCAACCCGCAGAAAUGGACCUUAUUAGCUCUUGGUGCCAACACUCUUGGUCCAGCGUACACACCAGUGGGACCCACAGAGUGUCCUUUGUGAGCUUCUCUCCAGCUAGACUGCAAGUCCCAGGAGAUCAGGGAGACUGGCACAUUCUUAGGGUCAGGUCCCAUGGUGCGGGCACACGGUAAUGCAUCUGAGUGUUUCUGGAAAGGAUGCUCCUAGUGUACCAGAAGGGGAAGAGGCAGAAGCUUCCAGGCUCCAGGGAGAACCUGGGGUCCACAGCUCUUACCAGCUGGAACCCUUCUGUGACAUCACAGUAGGGACAGGGGCCCUACUAUGACGCAUACCAAGUAGACUUCUGUGGAGUCAAAAAGACACUUCAGUAGGUGGGAAAAGAGAAUUCCCCCUCUGUCCCCAGUUACAUCUUUCCUCUCUUCCCCUCUCACUUUUCAGUUCCAGACUAUAUAACAGUGAGUCUGACUGAUUCCCCUACUGGAGAGAGAAUGAAGAGAAACUCUGUUGUAGAAUCUGUCAAGUCCUCAAUCCAGGAGGAAGAGAGCUUUCUUCAGAAAGAUGCAGAGAAAGCCUGGCACCCCAAGGAGUCGAGAUGGGAGGCAGAGGGCAGCCCGGGGGCUCUGCCCUGUCACUCAUCAGGGAAUAGGCUCUGCUUCUCUGUGCCCCACGCCUCUGAGUCCUGCCUCUGUGGGUGCAGCCUGAGGACCAAGGCCGUGUUACACCCCCGGCCCCCUCCAGUCUCCCUAGCCUCUCAGGCGCUCCCCAACUUGCCAUCAGGAAGGAAGCAGCUGCCUUCUCCGGGGAUUGUCUCAUUCAAAUCUCAACUCUCCCGGAGUUCUCCAAAGCCCAAGGCCAAGGCUAAGUCCCAGCUGCUCUCUCGGGACAGGUCAAGAGCUUCCUGCAGUGCCACGCCACUACGCAGGCCGGUACCCAUGGGCGUGUGGCCUCAGGGAUUUCUUAGCCCAUUCUCCAAGUGCUGGCCAGAGGAGCCCCUGCACACCUAUAUCCCACUGGGAGGGAGCCACUUCCCAAGCCAGGAAGCCAUAGCCCCAGUGAUGUCACUUGUGGAGGGUGGCAAACCCCAGUUCUCUCUACCAUUCUGGUUUAAAUAAAAAUACAUGUAGUCACUUAUGGUCUUUCUCUUGUGUCUGCUGAAAGCAUGGUAAGGGUCUGUUUU